rnacentral:rRNA from 1 species
CCUACGGGAGGCAGCAGUGAGGAAUAUUGGUCAAUGGGCGCGAGCCUGAACCAGCCAAGUAGCGUGAAGGAUGACUGCCCUACGGGUUGUAAACUUCUUUUAUAAAGGAAUAAAGUGAGGCACGUGUGCCUUUUUGUAUGUACUUUAUGAAUAAGCAUCGGCUAACUCCGUGCCAGCAGCCGCGGUAAUACGGAGGAUGCGAGCGUUAUCCGGAUUUAUUGGGUUUAAAGGGUGCGUAGGUGGUUAAUUAAGUCAGCGGUGAAAGUUUGUGGCUCAACCAUAAAAUUGCCGUUGAAACUGGUUGACUUGAGUAUAUUUGAGGUAGGCGGAAUGCGCAGUGUAGCGGUGAAAUGCUUAGAUAUUGCGCAGAACUCCGAUUGCGAAGGCAGCAUACCGGCGGCGAUCUGACGCUGAGGCACGAAAGCGUGGGUAUCGAACAGGAUUAGAUACCCUUGUAGUC